rnacentral:rRNA from 1 species
UACAGAGGUCUCAAGCGUUAUUCGGAUUCAUUGGGCGUAAAGGGUGCGUAGGUGGCGUCGUAAGUCGGGUGUGAAAUCUCGGGGCUUAACUCCGAAACUGCAUUCGAUACUGCGGUGCUUGAGGACUGGAGAGGAGACUGGAAUUUACGGUGUAGCAGUGAAAUGCGUAGAGAUCGUAAGGAAGACCAGUGGCGAAGGCGGGUCUCUGGACAGUUCCUGACACUGAGGCACGAAGGCCAGGGGAGCAAACGGG